rnacentral:rRNA from 1 species
AUUGAACGCUGGCGGCAGGCCUAACACACGCAAGUCGAGCGGAUGAUGGGAGCUUGCUCCUUGAUUCAGCGGCGGACGGGUGAGUAAUGCCUAGGAAUCUGCCUGGUAGUGGGGGACAACGUUUCGAAAGGAACGCUAAUACCGCAUACGUCCUACGGGAGAAAGCAGGGGACCUUCGGGCCUUGCGCUAUCAGAUGAGCCUAGGUCGGAUUAGCUUGUUGGUGAGGUAAUGGCUCACCAAGGCGACGAUCCGUAACUGGUCUGAGAGGAUGAUCAGUCACACUGGAACUGAGACACGGUCCAGACUCCUACGGGAGGCAGCAGUGGGGAAUAUUGGACAAUGGGCGAAAGCCUGAUCCAGCCAUGCCGCGUGUGUGAAGAAGGUCUUCGGAUUGUAAAGCACUUUAAGUUGGGAGGAAGGGUUGUAGAUUAAUACUCUGCAAUUUUGACGUUACCGACAGAAUAAGCACCGGCUAACUCUGUGCCAGCCGCCGCAGUAAGAC